rfam:Mustela putorius furo unplaced genomic scaffold scaffold00094, whole genome shotgun sequence.
CUCACCCAGGGCUCCUGUAGCUCAGGGGGCAGGCCCGAGCCCUGCGCCCGCCCUGAGUCCGUCCGGCCCCUGACGGGGCGCCCCAUCCUGAGGGGCUCCGCACUGGCCCCCACUGAGGCAGGGGACCUGACCGGCUCGGAGCUCGGCUGGAUGUUACAGGCGUGCAAA